rnacentral:rRNA from 1 species
UACGUGAAACCGUUCAGGGGUAAACCUAAGAAACCCAAAAGAUCGAACGGGGAGAUUCAUCGUCAGCGGCGCUGGCUUCGCGUCGGUGGGCGAUGUCCCGCGGAGUCCUCGCGGCUCGCGCGCGGGCACGCUACCGUGCGUCGAUGUCCGGCGCUCGUCGUCGUGCACUUCUCCCCAAGUAGAACGUCGCGACCCGCUGGGUGUCGGUCUACGGCCCGGGUGCGGUGACUGUCGCGUCGCCGGUAAAACGGCACGCGACAAACCCCCGGUCGCCCGGCCGGCUGCUCGGCGGUACGCGCAUGGUAUCAGGCCGCACUAUUUUACGGUGCGUCGAGGCCGUCGCAAGCGCGCGCCACGGUACUCGGAGGUUACGGACUUUGCGCCGUCCCCGGUCCUGGUCCGCUGUUGGUUAAAGUACGGUUCACCUUCGACAGGCCUGCGAACGUCUCUCCCCGGAGAGACCGAUACCGGUCGGCGACGCUACUGCUUUGGGUACUCUUAGGACCCGUCUUGAAACACGGACCAAGGAGUCUAACAUGUACGCGAGUCAUUGGGACUUGUCGCGAGACCUAAAGGCGUAAUGAAAGUGAAGGUCGGCCCUGGCCGUCGACCGAGGGAGGAUGGGCCGCGUCGCGAUGCGGCCUCGCACUCCCGGGGCGUCUCGUUCUCAUCGCGAGAAGAGGCGCACCCAGAGCGUACACGUUGGGACCCGAAAGAUGGUGAACUAUGCCUGGUCAGGACGAAGUCAGGGGAAACCCUGAUGGAGGUCCGUAGCGAUUCUGACGUGCAAAUCGAUCGUCGRAACUGGGUAUAGGGGCGAAAGACUAAUCGAACCAUC